GGCGGGCCUGGCCGAUCGCCGUGGCGGGCCGGUUGAUGUCCGGCGCCCUGUCCCGCAGGGCGCUGCGGUCGGCCCGGCCCCGGCAGCUGCCCCC
rnacentral:tRNA from 1 species